GAUUCUGCCAUCUCGCUGCCUUAAAGGUUGAUAAAAUAAGUACCAGCUGAGUACUGGGGUUGAUGUAAUCGACUUACCCCCUUCCCUGAACUUGCUGGCCUAGUGCCAAAAUUUGAAAUCAGUAUUACACUAAUCACAAAACAUUACUUUUCAGGACUGUUUUGUGGACAGAAUAUACAUGGAGUGGCAAAUAUUUUAGCUGCUUCGUCUUACCUGUACUUACCUGUAUGGGCGGGCAGAAAACUUGAGAAUUACCUGAAAUAUAAAACAUGGAAUGGAUCGAAUCUCGGUAAUCGUUAAAACCGACUCUAUGGAUAAAACCAGUGUUGCCAUCACAAUGUCUCUUGGCAUUUUUCACUAAAUUUGACUGUGAACAAUAUUUACUCAUUCUCUCUAAUAUGAAGAAAUUUCCCCCCAUUCUAUGUUAGCAAUAUGGGCUAAACAUGUGUAUCAUAUAAGAGAUAUUUUGAGAGACGUGUUGCAGUGUCCAUGUCUCUACCCACAAGACGAUUGAGACAACAGCAAUAGCUAAUUUGAAAAUGAUAUAGCUAAAUCUAUCAGACUAAUGUAAUCAACAACCAAUCAUUGAAAUAGAUUUAAGUAUCUCUUAUUUUAUAUAAGUAGUAUUACUGGCCUUGUGGCCCAGUGGAUAAGGGGGGUUGGUUACAAACAAAACAGUGGUGUAGAUGGAGGUUCCAGUUUCAGGUAGGGACUGUGAUAGGAUUUUAUUUUGUUUUAUUUUUUCUGUAAAUGGAAAAAAAAAAAUUUGAAUACUUUUACAAAGAUUGAACCUUUAUCCAAGGGGUAUAUGUGUGAUGCUGUGUCCAAGUCUUUACCCACAAGACCAUUGAGACAACAGCAAUUACUCAUGUGAAAAUAAUCUAUUUAAACCUAUCAGACUAAUGUAAUCAAUAACCAGUCAUUAGAAUAAAUUUGAAUAUAUCAUAUGUUGUGUAAGUAGUAUUACUAGCUUUGCGGAUAAGGGUGGUUGGUGAUAGACAAAACUGUGGGGUAGAUGGGGGUUUCGGGUAGGGAUUGUGAUAUGAUCAUACUUACUUUUUAUUUUUCUCUAGAGAUGUGUAGAGGGGGAAGAAAGAAAAAACCACAAUCAGUAUAGGCCAUGGGCCAAGAUUGAUCCUUUGUCCAAGGGGUAUAUGUGUUGCUAUGUCUUUAU